rnacentral:rRNA from 1 species
AUACGUAGGGAGCGAGCGUUGUCCGGAAUUACUGGGUGUAAAGGGCGUGUAGGCGGGCGAUCAAGUCAGAUGUGAAAUACCCGGGCUCAACUUGGGAGCUGCAUUUGAAACUGAACGUCUUGAGUGGUGGAGAGGAAAGCGGAAUUCCUAGUGUAGCGGUGAAAUGCGUAGAUAUUAGGAGGAACACCAGUGGCGAAGGCGGUUGUCUGGACACUAACGGACGCUGAGGCGAGAAAGCAUGUGGAGCAAACAGGAGUAGAUGCGCAGGUAGUCCACGCUGUAAAAGAUGAAUACUAGGUGUGGGGGGACUGACCGCCUCCGUGCCGCAUUUAACACAAUAAGUAUUCCACCUGGGGAAUACGAUCGCAAGAUUGAAACUCAAAGGAAUUGACGGGG